rnacentral:rRNA from 1 species
UACGAAGGGUGCAAGCGUUACUCGGAAUUACUGGGCGUAAAGCGUGCGUAGGUGGUUUGUUAAGUCUGAUGUGAAAGCCCUGGGCUCAACCUGGGAAUUGCAUUGGAUACUGGCAGGCUAGAGUGCGGUAGAGGGUAGUGGAAUUCCCGGUGUAGCAGUGAAAUGCGUAGAGAUCGGGAGGAACACCAGUGGCGAAGGCGGCUACCUGGACCAGCACUGACACUGAAGCACGAAAGCGUGGGGAGCAAACAGG